AACAUGAUUUGCAGGGGGAUAUUUUGCCGAAGAAAGGGAGAUUUUCGAAAGGAAGAUUUCGUUUGCAUUGACAACUCCCCAUCUCAUGAAGGGGUAUUUUCGAUUGACAGUUUCAAAACCGUAAAUCCAACCCAAUUCGAGAAGAAAUCCCCCAUAAUUCUGGAUUUUUCGCCGAAAUCAUCCAUCUUGCGACAUCGAUCGAAGAGGGAGCUAUCAAUCGAUGUCAGAUCCUCUUCUUCCGAGUUCCGAUCAACCAGGGCCUAGAUUUCAACGGUUUGAUCGAUUCUUGAUACCCCUUGUUCAAUGGCUGAACACAUGCAAAGGCUUCCACAGGUCCAUUCCUUUGUCCCUGCGUUAACGAUGGAGAUUGAUCACGGUCACCAAGUCUGGAGAUUCCAUGAAUAACCGUAUCGGGCAGGGAGCUGCAUUUAUGAUUCAAGGGUAACAAUGGGGGGACAUGGAUUUCCUGCAAAAGGCUUCUGCAGGAACUUCCAAUUGCGGGCACAUCUUGUUGUUUGCACAUUAAUCUUUGCCAGCUCCGCUCUGCCGAUUAAUCAAAAGGAAAAGCAAAAAAAAAAGAGAGAAGGAAAGCUAUGGAAGCUACCAAAGCCGGAGGAGGAGAGAACAUCAGAUCUCUGUUUCCUCUGUAGUCUUCUUACUCCAAUCCAAUUGAGAGUCAACAAAUUUUCUACGAAUUCGAAUCUGCAAUGGCGAGACCCCAGCAGGACGCAAUCGACGCCUUCAUCAACAUCACCAACGCAUCGGAGGCUGUCGCUUUGCAGAAACUUGAGGUGCCUAUUUUUCUUCCAACUCUGUUAGGGUUUCGAUUGCCAGAAUUCAUUUUCUCUUUCCAUCUCUCAUACAAUCCUCCGAUUGCAAAAUUCGUGUUACUAUGACACUUCCAAGGUAACAGAUGAGCUCGUUCAGAAGAUGCUACUGACAGGACUGGAUCUUGGAGCUGUUGAUGUGUUUCUUGAUUUCGUUUGCUACUCAGGUGGUCCUCUACCUGAUUAACUGAUCACCCAAGUUAAGUGCCUAGUUCUAGUGGCAUGGGGAGUCAAGGACCCGUGGGAGCCAAUCAAGCUUGGAAAAGUAUAUGGCGAUUUCGAUUCAGUAGAAGAUUUUAUCAUCCUUCCCAACAUUGGCCAUUGCCUCCAAGUUCUUUCUACCACUUGUAGGAUGGCUUUUAAAUAUCUGUCAAGUCCACAUGCGGUUUAAUGUGGAAGUAGCCCUCAAACCGAAGUUCCAUUCUUUUGGACCUUAAUCGCACAAUUUAAAAUGUUAUGAAAGACAAUUGCGAUAUGGUCCUUUUCUUAUUAUUGUAGUUAUUGCAAUUCAAUUCAUUAGUGCUUCCAAAUGCAACCUUGGCUAUAUCUUGCCUUGCAUUAAAAAGAAAAGAAAUCAUUAUCGAUGGAUCUCACUUUAUCCCGUAGCUAGAAAGAAAAAUUUCCAGGUUGUCACUAAAUACGUAAGAGCAUUUGUGUAAUGGUUGAAGAUGGUUAUGAGUGGUUUGCAGGUCAACCUUGUUCUGAUUGUAUUUGAAAGAGAUGAGGAAGCAGGUUAAAGGAGAUUCUUCCACUGUCAGGUUAAAGCAUCUUAUAUUUUUGGCAGUUAUUCCAUGCAAAAGUAUUAAUUAUUCUUCGCCGCAGAGUCUUCACAGUGCACUCGAGUUUUCAGUUUGUUCAGGUUGGAUCCGUGCUUUAGUGAUCCAAACAGAGGGUGCAAUGUGCUUCACCAGGGAUGGACCACGCACUAGAAGUCCCUGAGAUUGGAAGAUCCCAGCCACCGAGUCAGUCACUAUUGAUCUUUUAACUCUUAACCGUCUGUUUAGUGUCCAUGAAUUGAAGGGAUAAGAUAUCCAAACCUAGGAUAUUUUGGUGUAUGAUCCAUCCAUGGAGCCCAUCAUAUAGAUGGCUUAGAUCAUUGCAUGGUCCAUGCAUGUUGGAGCCCAUCAUAUAGAUGUUUUAGAUCACUGAAACAAGGGCACUACUUUUACAAACUGAAAACCCAUGGUAUUGUAGAAACUCUUGGGCCGAGCAUUGCAUUGCAUAAUAUCUGUUCCAUGUAUAUAUGCUCCUGAAUAGUAUCUCUACCUCCAUGCUUAUAGUUCUACAUGUUCCUUAUAUAGAUUCUGCACUUGUACCCAAGAUGGAGAGGAGCACAACAACUGUAAGUUCAGAAAAACAAUAAGCAAGACAGUAGAAGUUUAGUUCAGGCUACUUUUGGUUGCUCCAAAUAUCAUGAAAAUUCAUCAUUAAUCAUCUAAUUCAGUGCAAAAUAUCUUAAAAAUUUGAUGAUACUUGGUGCCACCAAGCACACCCUUAAUUACUGAAGAAUGAUCAGAAUCUCUCUGGUCACUCCAUUUCAGUAAACCAAGCAACUAGAGCUUGUUAAGAAGCAAUCUGCGGUGAAACACCUUUUGUUAGGUAGUGCACCUAAAGGUUUCUUUAGUCUCACAACACAAUCUUUCAGACACAGGUGGAGCUUGAGACAGUUUGGUUCAUGGAACAAUGGGCCCACAAAUUGAAAGGCUGCUUCGGUUCGAGGAAUCUGAUGUGGAGGACAUGAUUUGGUUUGAAAAUGUCUUUCUAGUAACUUGCCAACAAUAUUCCCAUUAAUACCUCGCCCUCACACCUAACCCCUUUCACAUGAAUACUAGUUAUUGGGCUGUUGUUGUAUAAGUACCAGUUUUUACUUUGACCAUAAUCUUUAGAUUUCUGAUUUUGAAUUUCUAUUAGGGUUUUAAGUUUUUUUUGUUCAUGAAACUAGCCAGUCUCAUAUUAUUCUCACUCAGUUUUUUUUUUUUUUUUUGUUGGCAGUUAUGGUGUUAUAUCUGUACCAGAGGUGAUGGAUUGACAGCCUCUAACUAGCAAUGAUAGAUACCUGGUGGCUGCAAUUGAUGGGGUCUUCGAGAAAAUGACUGGGCAGGAUAUCUGUGAUCUAAUAUGGGAUGUACGCAUUUAAGACAGUGAAAAAUCAGAUUCCGUUUCUACCAACACAAAAUUGUUGGCUGUGUGGAAGGCUAUGUAGCAGUUUAUGUGCAUUUGUAGUUUGUUUUGAAAACUUUAAAUAGACCAUUAAUUGUUUUGUUAGUAUUGUGUUGAUUGUUGUCUUGAUGAAUGUUAAAUGGGUGAAACAUGCACAGGUUCAAUCA